rnacentral:rRNA from 1 species
UUAAGCGACUAAGCGUACACGGUGGAUGCCCUGGCAGUCAGAGGCGAUGAAGGACGUGCUAAUCUGCGAUAAGCGUCGGUAAGGUGAUAUGAACCGUUAUAACCGGCGAUUUCCGAAUGGGGAAACCCAGUGUGWUUCGWCACACUAUCAUUAACUGAAUCCAUAGGUUAAUGAGGCGAACCGGGGGAACUGAAACAUCUAAGUACCCCGAGGAAAAGAAAUCAACCGAGAUUCCCCCAGUAGCGGCGAGCGAACGGGGAGCAGCCCAGAGCCUGAAUCAGUGUGUGUGUUAGUGGAAGCGUCUGGAAAGGCGCGCGAUACAGGGUGACAGCCCCGUACACAAAAAUGCACAURCUGUGAGCUCGAUGAGUAGGGCGGGACACGUGGUAUCCUGUCUGAAUAUGGGGGGACCAUCCUCCAAGGCUAAAUACUCCUGACUGACCGAUAGUGAACCAGUACCGUGAGGGAAAGGCGAAAAGAACCCCGGCGAGGGGAGUGAAAAAGAACCUGAAACCGUGUACGUACAAGCAGUGGGAGCACAGAGCAAUCUGUGUGACUGCGUACCUUUUGUAUAAUGGGUCAGCGACUUAUAUUCUGUAGCAAGGUUAACCGAAUAGGGGAGCCGAAGGGAAACCGAGUCUUAACUGGGCGUUAAGUUGCAGGGUAUAGACCCGAAACCCGGUGAUCUAGCCAUGGGCAGGUUGAAGGUUGGGUAACACUAACUGGAGGACCGAACCGACUAAUGUUGAAAAAUUAGCGGAUGACUUGUGGCUGGGGGUGAAAGGCCAAUCAAACCGGGAGAUAGCUGGUUCUCCCCGAAAGCUAUUUAGGUAGCGCCUCGUGAAUUCAUCUCCGGGGGUAGAGCACUGUUUCGGCAAGGGGGUCAUCCCGACUUACCAACCCGAUGCAAACUGCGAAUACCGGAGAAUGUUAUCACGGGAGACACACGGCGGGUGCUAACGUCCGUCGUGAAGAGGGAAACAACCCAGACCGCCAGCUAAGGUCCCAAAGUCAUGGUUAAGUGGGAAACGAUGUGGGAAGGCCCAGACAGCCAGGAUGUUGGCUUAGAAGCAGCCAUCAUUUAAAGAAAGCGUAAUAGCUCACUGGUCGAGUCGGCCUGCGCGGAAGAUGUAACGGGGCUAAACCAUGCACCGAAGCUGCGGCAGCGACGCUKAUGCGUUGUUGGGUAGGGGAGCGUUCUGUAAGCCUGYGAAGGUGUGCUGUGAGGCAUGCUGGAGGUAUCAGAAGUGCGAAUGCUGACAUAAGUAACGAUAAAGCGGGUGAAAAGCCCGCUCGCCGGAAGACCAAGGGUUCCUGUCCAACGUUAAUCGGGGCAGGGUGAGUCGACCCCUAAGGCGAGGCCGAAAGGCGUAGUCGAUGGGAAACAGGUUAAUAUUCCUGUACUUGGUGUUACUGCGAAGGGGGGACGGAGAAGGCUAUGUUGGCCGGGCGACGGUUGUCCCGGUUUAAGCGUGUAGGCUGGUUUUCCAGGCAAAUCCGGAAAAUCAAGGCUGAGGCGUGAUGACGAGGCACUACGGUGCUGAAGCAACAAAUGCCCUGCUUCCAGGAAAAGCCUCUAAGCAUCAGGUAACAUCAAAUCGUACCCCAAACCGACACAGGUGGUCAGGUAGAGAAUACCAAGGCGCUUGAGAGAACUCGGGUGAAGGAACUAGGCAAAAUGGUGCCGUAACUUCGGGAGAAGGCACGCUGAUAUGUAGGUGAAGUCCCUCGCGGAUGGAGCUGAAAUCAGUCGAAGAUACCAGCUGGCUGCAACUGUUUAUUAAAAACACAGCACUGUGCAAACACGAAAGUGGACGUAUACGGUGUGACGCCUGCCCGGUGCCGGAAGGUUAAUUGAUGGGGUYAGCGCAAGCGAAGCUCUUGAUCGAAGCCCCGGUAAACGGCGGCCGUAACUAUAACGGUCCUAAGGUAGCGAAAUUCCUUGUCGGGUAAGUUCCGACCUGCACGAAUGGCGUAAUGAUGGCCAGGCUGUCUCCACCCGAGACUCAGUGAAAUUGAACUCGCUGUGAAGAUGCAGUGUACCCGCGGCAAGACGGAAAGACCCCGUGAACCUUUACUAUAGCUUGACACUGAACAUUGAGCCUUGAUGUGUAGGAUAGGUGGGAGGCUUWGAAGUGUGGACGCCAGUCUGCAUGGAGCCGACCUUGAAAUACCACCCUUUAAUGUUUGAUGUUCUAACGUUGACCCGURAUCCGGGUUGCGGACAGUGUCUGGUGGGUAGUUUGACUGGGGCGGUCUCCUCCUAAAGAGUAACGGAGGAGCACGAAGGUUGGCUAAUCCUGGUCGGACAUCAGGAGGUUAGUGCAAUGGCAUAAGCCAGCUUGACUGCGAGCGUGACGGCGCGAGCAGGUGCGAAAGCAGGUCAUAGUGAUCCGGUGGUUCUGAAUGGAAGGGCCAUCGCUCAACGGAUAAAAGGUACUCCGGGGAUAACAGGCUGAUACCGCCCAAGAGUUCAUAUCGACGGCGGUGUUUGGCACCUCGAUGUCGGCUCAUCACAUCCUGGGGCUGAAGUAGGUCCCAAGGGUAUGGCUGUUCGCCAUUUAAAGUGGUACGCGAGCUGGGUUUAGAACGUCGUGAGACAGUUCGGUCCCUAUCUGCCGUGGGCGCUGGAGAAYUGAGGGGGGCUGCUCCUAGUACGAGAGGACCGGAGUGGACGCAUCACUGGUGUUCGGGUUGUCAUGCCAAUGGCACUGCCCGGUAGCUAAAUGCGGAAGAGAUAAGUGCUGAAAGCAUCUAAGCACGAAACUUGCCCCGAGAUGAGUUCUCCCUGACYCYUURAGRGUCCUGAAGGAACGUUGAAGACGACGACGUUGAUAGGCCGGGUGUGUAAGCGCAGCGAUGCGUUGAGCUAACCGGUACUAAUGAACCGUGAGGCUUAACCUU